AAGCCACGGCUUAACCGUGGGAGGGUCAUUGGAAACUGGUCAACUUGAGUGCAGAAGAGGGAAUGGAAUCCAUGUGUAGCGGUGAAAUGCGUAGAGAUAUGGAGGAACACCAGUGGCGAAGGCGCUUCCUGGUCUGUAACUGACACUGAGGCGCGAAAGCGUGGGGAGCAAACAGGAUUAGAUCCCUGGUAGUCACGCCGUAAACGAUGAGUGCUAAGUGUUGGGGGUCGAACCUCAGUGCUGAGUUAACGCAUUAAGCACUCCGCCUGGGGAGUACGGUCGCAAGACUGAAACUCAAAGGAAUGACGGGGACCCGCACAAGCGGUGGAGCAUGUGGUUUAAUUCGAAGCAACGCGAAGAACCUACCAGGUCUUGACAUACCAGUGACCGUCCUAGAGAUAGGAUUUUCCCUUCGGGGACAGUGAUACAGGUGGUGCAUGGUUGUCGUCAGCUCGUGUCGUGAGAUGUUGGGUUAAGUCCCGCACGAGCGCAACCCCUGUCGUUAGUUGCCAGCAUUCAGUUGGGGACUCUAACGAGACUGCCGUGACAAACUGGAGGAAGGUGGGGAUGACGUCAAAUCAUCAUGCCCCUUAUGACCUGGGCACACACGUGCUACAAUGGUUGGUACAAAGAGAAGCGAAGCGGUGACGUGGAGCAAACCUCUAAAGCCAAUCUCAGUUCGGAUUGUAGGCUGCAACUCGCCUACAUGAAGUUGGAAUCGCUGUAAUCGCGAAUCAGCAUGUCGCGGUGAAUACGUUCCCGGGUCUUGCACACACCGCCCGU
rnacentral:rRNA from 1 species